rnacentral:rRNA from 1 species
AACGUAGGAGGCAAGCGUUAUCCGGAGUUACUGGGCGUAAAGCGCGCGCAGGCGGCGCGAUAAGUGAGUAGUGAAAGCCCCGUGCUCAACGCGGGGAGCGCCGCUCAGACUGUCGGGCUAGAGGCGGAUGGAGGGACGUGGAAUUCCGGGUGUAGCGGUGAAAUGUGUAGAGAUCCGGAGGAACACCAGCGGUGAAGACGGCGUCCUGGGUCCGACCUGACGCUGAGGCGCGAAGGCGUGGGGAGCGAACGGG